AGCAGUCAAUAACGAGCAGUUCCUCUUUUCAGAGCUCCAGACCUUAUCAGCUGCUAUUCAGUCCACAAGUGGCCUUUGGAUUCCCAGGACCUCAUUUGGAGCUUUUACCUACAUAUGUAUAGAGGCGCAGCUUUCAACAUCCAGCUCGGUUUUUAAUAGAAACAUUAGUCAAGUUCUACACAUUUCUGGCUGAUGUUAACUGUAACUACUUCAGAAGAGGACUUAAGUGGUGAAGGGUGAUUGAUACUUUUCCAGGUUCCAAGGAGAGACAAAAAGAUAAUGGAGCUGUUGAGAGGCUGACUGGGCCUGAUGUACGCUGGAGCAGUGCUGUCACUGGGGAGCAACACCUACAGCAGACACCAGAGGAAGGAAGAGAUAAGGGCCAUCCUGCAGCCCUUAUCACCUGCAGCUGAUAUCUCCUGCAGCCACCAUCUCCUGCGUGACUGCAACAGUCCCCAUGAGCAGUUUCUUCCAAGUACGCUGACUUUCAGCAUAGGUACAGGCCCAAGGUCCAAGCUACAAGAGUACGUUGUUUUGUAAAUGUGAGCGGUCCAAACAAACCGUGACAUUAGGAACUGGCAGAAUGUGCUGGAAGAAGACAAGCCGCCUUUGUUUUCAUAAAUAUAUAAUCUUCAUGUAACCGAACUCUGACAGGACACUGACAAUACUCAAGAAGGAUCUCCAGGUUGUAGCAUUACUACUUACCAUUGUCCCUUGCCUUGAUAGCUGAUUCUGCUAAUUGGUUAAAUGGAUGGUGUAACUGUUCAAAGCACCAUGAAAGGAAGUGUCUGGAAAUUUGUUUACUGAUACAGAAACGUGAAAUCAGGAUUCUGAGAGAUGGGGUAUUAGAUUAAUCCCUUCUCACACCUUGUGUGCUGUUCUGGAUAAAAGUUACCAUUAUGACGCGAUGACUUGUCAUCACUUCUUUGUCACAGCACUACUGCGCACAUCAUUUCAGAAACCUCA
ensembl:lncRNA